UACAGAGGGGGCAAGCGUUGUUCGGAAUUACUGGGCGUAAAGGGCGCGUAGGCGGCCUGCUAAGUCGAACGUGAAAUCCCCGGGCUCAACCCGGGAACUGCGUCCGAUACUGGCAGGCUUGAAUCCGGGAGAGGGAUGCAGAAUUCCAGGUGUAGCGGUGAAAUGCGUAGAUAUCUGGAGGAAUACCGGUGGCGAAGGCGGCAUCCUGGACCGGCAUUGACGCUGAGGAGCGAAAGCUAGGGGAGCAAACGGG
rnacentral:rRNA from 1 species